AUCAUUUUAGGUUGAAACACUGGUUCUUGUACAAUCAGCAAAGUUAAGUCAUAUUGAGCCUGAUAAGUACUUAGAUGGGUGACCGCUUGGGAAUAUCAGGUGCAGUA